AUUGAACGCUGGCGGCAGGCCUAACACAUGCAAGUCGAACGGUAACAGGGAUCAGGUUGCUGAUUCGCUGACGAGUGGCGGGCGGGUGAGUAAUGUCUGUGAAACUGCCUGAUGGAGGGGGAUAACUACUGGAAACGGUAGCUAAUACCGCAUAACGUCGCAAGGCCAAAGAGGGGGACCUUCGGGCCUCUUGCCAUCGUAUGUGCGCAGAUGGGAUUAGCUAGUAGGUGGGGUAACGGCUCACCUAGGCGACGAUCCCUAGCUGGUCUGAGAGGAUGACCAGCCACACUGGAACUGGGACACGGUCCAGACUCCUACGGGAGGCAGCAGUGGGGAAUAUUGGACAAUGGGCGCAAGCCUGAUGCAGCCAUGCCGCGUGUAUGAAGAAGGCCUUCGGGUUGUAAAGUACUUUUAGCGGGGAAGAAGAGCAUCAAGUUAAUACCUUGCCCCAUUGACGUUACCCAAAGAAGAAGCACCGGCUAACUUCGUG
rnacentral:rRNA from 1 species